rnacentral:rRNA from 1 species
AAUGGGUCAGCGACUUAUAUUCUGUAGCAAGGUUAACCGAAUAGGGGAGCCGAAGGGAAACCGAGUCUUAACUGGGCGUUAAGUUGCAGGGUAUAGACCCGAAACCCGGUGAUCUAGCCAUGGGCAGGUUGAAGGUUGGGUAACACUAACUGGAGGACCGAACCGACUAAUGUUGAAAAAUUAGCGGAUGACUUGUGGCUGGGGGUGAAAGGCCAAUCAAACCGGGAGAUAGCUGGUUCUCCCCGAAAGCUAUUUAGGUAGCGCCUCGUGAAUUCAUCUCCGGGGGUAGAGCACUGUUUCGGCAAGGGGGUCAUCCCGACUUACCAACCCGAUGCAAACUGCGAAUACCGGAGAAUGUUAUUACGGGAGACACACGGCGGGUGCUAACGUCCGUCGUGAAGAGGGAAACAACCCAGACCGCCAGCUAAGGUCCCAAAGUCAUGGUUAAGUGGGAAACGAUGUGGGAAGGCCCAGACAGCCAGGAUGUUGGCUUAGAAGCAGCCAUCAUUUAAAGAAAGCGUAAUAGCUCACUGGUCGAGUCGGCCUGCGCGGAAGAUGUAACGGGGCUAAACCAUGCACCGAAGCUGCGGCAGCGACACUAUGUGUUGUUGGGUAGGGGAGCGUUCUGUAAGCCUGUGAAGGUGUACUGUGAGGUAUGCUGGAGGUAUCAGAAGUGCGAAUGCUGACAUAAGUAACGAUAAAGCGGGUGAAAAGCCCGCUCGCCGGAAGACCAAGGGUUCCUGUCCAACGUUAAUCGGGGCAGGGUGAGUCGACCCCUAAGGCGAGGCCGAAAGGCGUAGUCGAUGGGAAACAGGUUAAUAUUCCUGUACUUGGUGUUACUGCGAAGGGGGGACGGAGAAGGCUAUGUUGGCCGGGCGACGGUUGUCCCGGUUUAAGCGUGUAGGCUGAUUUUCCAGGCAAAUCCGGAAAAUCAAGGCUGAGGCGUGAUGACGAGGCACUACGGUGCUGAAGCAACAAAUGCCCUGCUUCCAGGAAAAGCCUCUAAGCAUCAGGUAACAUCAAAUCGUACCCCAAACCGACACAGGUGGUCAGGUAGAGAAUACCAAGGCGCUUGAGAGAACUCGGGUGAAGGAACUAGGCAAAAUGGUGCCGUAACUUCGGGAGAAGGCACGCUGAUAUGUAGGUGAAGCGACUUGCUCGUGGAGCUGAAAUCAGUCGAAGAUACCAGCUGGCUGCAACUGUUUAUUAAAAACACAGCACUGUGCAAACACGAAAGUGGACGUAUACGGUGUGACGCCUGCCCGGUGCCGGAAGGUUAAUUGAUGGGGUUAGCGGUAACGCGAAGCUCUUGAUCGAAGCCCCGGUAAACGGCGGCCGUAACUAUAACGGUCCUAAGGUAGCGAAAUUCCUUGUCGGGUAAGUUCCGACCUGCACGAAUGGCGUAAUGAUGGCCAGGCUGUCUCCACCCGAGACUCAGUGAAAUUGAACUCGCUGUGAAGAUGCAGUGUACCCGCGGCAAGACGGAAAGACCCCGUGAACCUUUACUAUAGCUUGACACUGAACAUUGAGCCUUGAUGUGUAGGAUAGGUGGGAGGCUUUGAAGUGUGGACGCCAGUCUGCAUGGAGCCGACCUUGAAAUACCACCCUUUAAUGUUUGAUGUUCUAACGUUGGCCCGUUAUCCGGGUUGCGGACAGUGUCUGGUGGGUAGUUUGACUGGGGCGGUCUCCUCCUAAAGAGUAACGGAGGAGCACGAAGGUUGGCUAAUCCUGGUCGGACAUCAGGAGGUUAGUGCAAUGGCAUAAGCCAGCUUGACUGCGAGCGUGACGGCGCGAGCAGGUGCGAAAGCAGGUCAUAGUGAUCCGGUGGUUCUGAAUGGAAGGGCCAUCGCUCAACGGAUAAAAGGUACUCCGGGGAUAACAGGCUGAUACCGCCCAAGAGUUCAUAUCGACGGCGGUGUUUGGCACCUCGAUGUCGGCUCAUCACAUCCUGGGGCUGAAGUAGGUCCCAAGGGUAUGGCUGUUCGCCAUUUAAAGUGGUACGCGAGCUGGGUUUAGAACGUCGUGAGACAGUUCGGUCCCUAUCUGCCGUGGGCGCUGGAGAACUGAGGGGGGCUGCUCCUAGUACGAGAGGACCGGAGUGGACGCAUCACUGGUGUUCGGGUUGUCAUGCCAAUGGCACUGCCCGGUAGCUAAAUGCGGAAGAGAUAAGUGCUGAAAGCAUCUAAGCACGAAACUUGCCCCGAGAUGAGUUCUCCCUGACUCCUUGAGAGUCCUGAAGGAACGUUGAAGACGACGACGUUGA